ensembl:lncRNA
CAUUAACAGUCUUUGUUCAUCGAAAUGCCUGUGUGUGUGGUAUUGUGUCUGUGUAUGUCCUCCCCCUGUACAGUAAAUAGAGAAAUAAAAGAUGAGAGAGUGUUGUGAAGUUCUCCUCCUCUAGCCGCUCAGUCUGGAGUCUUGGCCAAAUUUCCGCUGUGGUGUAGGUGUGGUGCCCGUCUCUCAUUCUUUCACAGAGACACAGAGACAGCAGAGAAGUGGGAGUGCUGUCGCUUGCGGCGGGCAGGAGACCAGCGAUCUGCCACGCCAAACCGGGCACCUCCACCAGAGCACCCGAGGGGUCGGGUGAGUCAAAGGAACAUCCCUGACUUCCUGUUUCUGGAGGUGGUGGGGCGGCAGGAGGUGGACUGGAGGAGCGGUGAGACGGCUGCACACACAUUUACUGUGAGAAUGUCCGGGGGGAGUGCGGAGCAGACAGCCAGGCGAAGACCACUGUCACGUAGCCAACUUUCACCAUCUAUGAGAGGGAGAGACCUUCCCGUCCACCACGGCCCACGCAAUAUUUGCCAGUAAAUUACUGACGCAGCAGAAGCAUGUAUGUGUGAGUGUCACACCACCAUGGACUCUGUUUGUGUUUCCCGCUCCUUGUUGGUUGUCAAGAUUGUUAAUUUGAUUUCAUCAUUAUGUUCCGGUGUGUGUCUCAUUAUCGUGUGUAUUUAAGUUCAGUUCUGUGUUGCUCUUAUUGUCCGGUGUCGUCAGUUUUUAGAUGUGUUGUAGCUGCUCUCUGUUUGGGGAUUAUCACCUUGUGGGUUAAUAAAGAUUAUUAUUCUUCAUCUCCUCCUUCUUCUUCAUGUGUGCAUUACCUCACAUCGUGACAGUGAGUGUGUAUUUAUUUACAUUUAAGUUAUGUCACAAACCCACCAUGCCAGAUCUUACAGGCAGUGUUAAUACAAAGUUUAAACCUUUCAGUUUUAUGAAGGUCAGGGUUAAUAUAGUCAACUGAAACUAAAACCAUAAUCAAACUUUCAUUACUGAAAAAAACAACUGUAAGAAAUAUGUAUUUGAAAAAAUGUGUGUGUGUGUGUGUGUGUAUAUAUUUAUAAUUUGGUAUGAUUUUACAAUAAAGAAGACAGCACAAAGCAAUUCCUGUUACCCUUUUUAAAAUAUAUAUAUAUUUUUUUACAUCAAAAUAUCAAUUUUCUGUUAAGUAAUUAAAUAAAAACAUGUUUUUCAGCUAAUAAUAAUAAUAAUAUCAAUUAGUGUAUUAAAGCAUUUUCUUCACAAACCUUUAAAAUUGAGAUGUCAUGGAAGUAGCAGAUUUCUUCCGUUUUGUGAUGUAUACCGAAGUGAAACCGAUUGUUAAAAAAGAAAAAAAAAAAAAGGUUGGGCAGGGACUUGGAUCUGUUGUUGAAUUAUUAUUAUUAUUUGGGGGGAUGAAUUGUUCAAAAUAAGACUGAUAACAUGCAUUUAGAAAAUAGAUGUGAAUCAUAGAUGUACAUCCAUUUCAUAAUUUCAUUCCAGUUUUAAAUGUCUUUUUUUCAGUUUUGCAUUCCUCUGCACUGUUUUUCCAUUGUUUCACCAUGUAAAUGUGUGUUUGAUGGACAUAUUUGACCGUUGUGCUCAGUGUUCUAAAAAUGUAAGUUCAACUGUAAGUUCAACAAAUUUUAGCCACAGGUCAGGCAGAGAAAACCUCUAAAGGUUACAGCUGCACAUUUCCCUUUUUACACCCAUCACCCUCUCUGCAUAAUAGCUCUCUCAUUUUCCCAAAGACAAAUGCCAGCACCAUUAUAUUUCAGAAAACGAUGACAAGUCCUCAUAGACUGAACAAUAAAACGCCUCUCAUGGCCUUUCGUGGCCUGCUCCUGAGCUGCCUACUGUACUAAUGGAGCUAAAUCCACUUCACAUACACAUAAAACUCCAUUUCCCUCUCAGUGCGAUUCUGUGCGCCCUGAACUUUCAUGCCUCACCUUGCAUUUAUUCAUAGAGUCGAGAAUAUUGAUGUAGUGCUCAAUGGGGGGAGAAAUUGGCUGGAUGCAGCCGUCUAAGACUGGAUGAAUUGCAUAGGUGUGGAGACAAGUAACCACAGGACUAAUUUGUGGUUUUCACAUGGAUGUUUGAGAAUGUUUAAGUGUGGUUCCUUCACAUUCUUAUGAGGUAAAUCAAAAACCAACUUUACAUUUCAUACACAUGCACUUGUGUACAUAGUUUUAAACACAUGGACAUAGUUUUUCACAAUCAUUUGCGAAGUUAAGAGUGCUGGUCUCUAACUUUCACAUCCUCUUGAGUUAGAUGAGGUUAAACGAUUGUGUUCAACUG